UUUCCUACUAAUAACGAUAAAAAAAAGAUCCAAAAGCCUUUCUGAAGCUGCUCCUGCUUGGAUUUUGGAGCUGUGCUGGAGCUGGGAAUGCUUUAAAGCACGAAAUAACCUGAGAUGUGAGAGAUUUUCCAGUUUCUCAAGACAGACUGUACUUGGCUGUAAUUAUAGAUGUGGUGUAAAGAUAAUGUGCAUUAUUAUAAGUGUCUUUGAAGUCUGUUCUUUCUCCAGGAGGGUUGCCACAUACCCUUCAGAUUCGCAGUGGGAGCUGGUAAAUAUUAUUCUCAUUAUUCAGAGUACGUACCAGAGGCAGGGAUUUGUAGGAACCUAAAAAAAUGGAGCAGCUGAGCUAAAAGCAGGAGGGAAGAAUUCCCAGGGCUUUAUCCCAGCUGUGUGUUGAGGGAGAUGAAGGCUGCACACGGUGGGUAUUGGGUACGCUGCCGUCUCCAUGCAUAUCCAGUCAGGAUGGAGGGGCUGGGAUACCUGCCAAGCCUUUUCUUCCAGGUAAACCCCACCCCACCCCUUGCUCCACCUGGCUGCCCCAAGGACUCUGACCCCGAGUGAAAGGGUAGGGACCAAAUCCCUGUUCUCCCCACACUUUGUGGGACUUAAUGAGGGGCCAUGUGUCCGUGCAGAGCUGCAGAACAGGAUCCGUGCACUCCCUCAUUACAGGGAUUUCAGCUUCCCCUGUGCAUCCCAGUUUCCCAGCAGGUCUGUGCUGCUCAGGCUUUUCCUUUAGGCUCCCUGCAAGGUGAUGGCUAAAGUUCUGGGGCCCAAGGUGCUACAGGAAGGGUGGUUUGCAGCAUCCAUAGGCAGGCUCUGCUCAUGAAGGAAUUGGGAAUGGAAAAUCCUGCUGGGCCACAGUGCAGAUCCUGGAGCUCCCAGGCCUGGUUGGGAUUCUGGAGGAGGCAGGCAGGCUGGCCUCACUGGCACGUGGCUGUGCUCUCGGGGGUGCCAGCGGCCACAUUCCAGCCAGGGGACUUUCCCCACCGCCUGCUGCUCAGGCGCACACGGGGAGGACGUGCUGCGCCGCAGGGAUGUGCCGCGGGGACACAGCGGAGUUCCCAGCUGUGACACAGCCCGUGCCAAGGAGCAGGUGGGGCGAGAGGAGCUCAAAACGCUCCAGGCCACAGGGAGGAGGGAAAGGUGCUGAAUCCACCAGGGAGAUCCCAUAGGAAGCUCAUAUCCCUUCCCCAAAACAAGCAGAAGGUGGUUCUUCUGUUCCUUACAGUGCUAUGGCUCCCCCACCUGCUGGGGCAGGCAUCACAGAGGCUUUUAUCUCUCUUUGCCUUCCUUGUCUACCUGAAUCCCAGGGAUCCUUGCCCAAAUCUCUCAGGAACCAGUUCUUACUUGGAGCCCGUUGUGUUUCUGCCCGCUCUGUUGUCUCCCAUCCCUUUGCGUAACCGCGGGCUCAGCACGGCGGGUGGCAGCACGAAGCUGGCGCUGCUGCCAAUCUCUGCCCACCCACGGGCUUGGAAAUAGCAGCACCGAGACAGAUCAGCCUGGCAAACCCCCCAGGAAUUCAGCUGGGAUGGGGUGGGGGGCGUCUCAGUGCUGAUAUUUUAUCUCCUUACUAUUAAAAUUUCUCACCCCACUCAGGUUUUUAACGCUGCAGCAGCUGAGGAUCCAGCCCUUGGUGUUGGCCAGGCUGGUGCUGAGUAGGAGGGUUUUCCCAGCUCCAUGGAUGGAAGCUUGGGAACAUUUGGGAUGAGAUGCACCUUCUGUUUUAAUGCCUCAUCCUCCUCCUUCUCCUGCUCUACACCAAGGCACAUGGGAUACAGCAGGAAGCGAGCUGCUCCUCUCUGUCAACUUCUUUUGCAGUUGGAGGUUUAUUUUGCUUUGCCAUUGUGAGGUUUUGUUUUAUUAUUUUUUUUUCCCAGGGAAAACCAAGAAGUGGGAUAUCAAGUGAGGAAGAAAAGGGAAAAAAAGUGGGCCAAACAAUGAGGAGGACACUGGCCACAUCUCUGCGUGGCACUUGGCCAAAGGCUGGAGCCAAACUCAGUGUGGGUUGAGGAUGCAUGUGAGUCCUGGGAUUAACUGUACAGCUGGAAGGUGCUGUGGACAAUUCUAAGAGUGAAAAUGUUCUGCAUUUCUUGGGAAAAUAAGGAGAGGAGGACUUACAAGUUGUUCCCCAGCGUGCUCCUCUUUGUGGCCCCCAGGAUGCUCAUCAGCGAGAGAUCCAGGCUUCAGGAAGGAUGAUUGUCGGGAAAAGGGAAACCCCAGAUAAACACACAGAGCUCCUACAUAGUCCUGCAGGAUCUGGGUGCUGCCAGCGCCGGGGAGCAACCUUUGCUUUGUGGCUUUAUCUGAUCGUGACAUCCAGC